AACGAACGCUGGCGGCAUGCCUAACACAUGCAAGUCGAACGAGACCUUCGGGUCUAGUUGCGCACGGGUGCGUAACGCGUGGGAACCUGCCCUUAGGUUCGGAAUAACUCCCCGAAAGGGGUGCUAAUACCGGAUAAUGUCUUCGGACCAAAGAUUUAUCGCCUUUGGAUGGGCCCGCGUUGGAUUAGCUAGUUGGUAGGGUAAAAGCCUACCAAGGCGACGAUCCAUAGCUGGUCGGAGAGGAGGAUCAGCCACACUGGGACUGAGACACGGCCCAGACUCCUACGGAAGGCAGCAGUAGGGAAUAUUGGACAAUGGGCGAAAGCCUGAUCCAGCAAUGCCGCGUGAGUGAUGAAGGCCUUAGGGUUGUAAAGCUCGUUUACCCGGGAUGAUAAUGACAGUACCGGGAGAAUAAGCUCCGGCUAACUCCGUG
rnacentral:rRNA from 1 species